rnacentral:miRNA from 1 species
UUCACAUCCACUAGAAUGACUACUAUUUUUUUUAAUGGAAAAUAAUAAGUGUUGGAGAGGAUGUGGAAAAAUUGGAACCCUGUCCAUUGUUGGUGAGAA